rnacentral:lncRNA from 12 species
CCACUUACUAAGGUGGCCAUGCAAAAGCCCAGGAGCUACAGGCCUCAGCUCAAACCAGAAGGAAGCACAGUGAAGACAGAUGAAUUCUGACCAGGAACAAAAUCUAGACAAAUGAAGGUAUCUAAGUGAAGAUGGUAUUGAUAAAGUAAUCAGCUUUUUCAAGAAAAGUGGCUCAUCUAAAGCAUGAAAUAAGCAUUUUACAAUAUUGGAAAUUGAAUCAUCAGAAUAUCAUGACAGCUAAUAAAGAAAAUGAACACUUGCCAACUUCAAACACCUGGUCUGCUGUUCUCAUUCACCCUGCAGAAUGGAUGGACACUAUGAGACCCAUUUACUUGGAUCUACUUCCAACUGGAACAGGAAUAGCAACAUGUGCUCUCUACGUUCCUACAUUGUGCAAAGGGUCCUUUCUGAUCAUAAGAAGGAAACAUUCUUUCAUAUGUUCGGUUCUCAACCUGAAAAUUUUGCACAUUUACAUACUUAUGGGCAAAACUGAAUCUGGUACAGAUCAGAAACUUGCAUAUGGUUUGUCUCGUAGUCCAUCUGGGUUUCAGUCCUCAUCCUCAUGCAAAAGAGCAAAGCCUGAAGGAACAAGAUGA